UACGUAGGGUGCAGGCGUUAAUCGGAAUUACUGGGCGUAAAGCGUGCGCAGGCGGUUUGCUAAGACAGGUGUGAAAUCCCCGGGCUUAACCUGGGAACUGCGCUUGUAACUGGCAAGCUUGAGUGUGGCAGAGGGGGGUGGAAUUCCACGUGUAGCAGUGAAAUGCGUAGAGAUGUGGAGGAACACCGAUGGCGAAGGCAGCCUCCUGGGCCAGCACUGACGCUCAUGCACGAAAGCGUGGGGAGCAAACAGG
rnacentral:rRNA from 1 species